CGGCGGCGUGCCUACCUGCAAGUCGAACGUGAAAUGGGGCAACCCAAAGUAAAGUGGCGUACGGGUGAGUAACACGUAGGUAAUCUACCCCGAAAUUUGGAAUAACCGGCCGAAAGGCUGGCUAAUACUGAAUAGAGCGACGGAAUCCGUAAUUGGGUUUUUCGGGAAAGGGAGGGAGCAAUCCCCUUCGUUUCGGGAUGAGCCUGCGUCUCAUUAGCUAGUUGGCGGGGUAAUGGCCCACCAAGGCAUUGAUGAGUAGCUGGUCUGAGAGGAUGAUCAGCCACACUGGAACUGAAACACGGUCCAGACUCCUACGGGAGGCAGCAGUGGGGAAUCUUGCGCAAUGGACGAAAGUCUGACGCAGCCACGCCGCGUGAGUGAAGAAGGCCUUCGGGUCGUAAAGCUCUGUCGGAGGGGACGAACAUCAUGUGAGUUAAUAGCUCAUGUGACUGACGGUACCCUCAAAGGAAGCACCGGCUAACUUCGUGCCAGCAGCCGCGGUAAUACGAGGGGUGCAAGCGUUGCUCGGAAUUAUUGGGCGUAAAGGGUAGGUAGGUGGUCUCGUUUGUCUGGGGUGAAAGCCUUGAGCUUAACUCAAGAAGUGCCUCGGAAACGGCGAGACUGGAGUCUUGGAGAGGGUCGUGGAAUUCCCGGUGUAGCGGUGAAAUGCGUAGAGAUCGGGAGGAACACCUGAGGCGAAGGCGGCGACCUGGACAAGUACUGACACUCAACUACGAAAGCGUGGGGAGCAAACAGGAUUAGAUA
rnacentral:rRNA from 1 species